UAACGGAUUUUUGUAAUUUGAACAGUAUUUUACUGUAAUAUGUACAGUAUAAUACUGUUAAAUGUGCCAACAGUAUAAUACUGUAAAUAGCAAAGGAUUAUGGGAAAAUAUAUGUUUAGUACUGUAAUUGUUCUCUACUGUAAAUCGAUUUACAGUAGCGACAAUGCCCGCGAAAAAACUGACCAAUGACAACGGAGACUUCUUUUCAAGUUUUUUUUUUCGGUUGGUUGGGACAACUGAGGAAAGACUCAACAAAAAGGUUAGUAUUGUUUCUGUAAUUAUUUUAUGUAAAACCGAGAUAUUUUCAAAUGCAGUCACUUAUUAACAGCAACCUAACACGAACCAGUGCUGCAAAUUUGGGUGAGUUGUUAAUGUGAGGACAAUAUUCCUGUCGUCAAGAGGCUUUUUUUCUGCCUGUUUGUCAAGGCGUGAGGUAACGUUACAAUUGUUACUGCCGUCAUCAUUAUGACAACUUCAACGGGGUGAAUAAAGUUUACAUUGACUGAUAUUUAGUGACACAGAAACAAAAUAACCUUUUUUUUAAUGCUCCUCUGCCUCUUUAAUGUAAAUUAGCUAACGUUAAGCAGGAGGACUCUGUGGAAACUUUACGUUAACAGCAAACUAUAUUGAAUGACGAAAAGAAAAGUGAGGCAACACUAAAGACGGAGGUUGUAUUAUAACAGUAUUUUGAAGUGAAUAUUUUGUUUUCAUUUAAAGUUUUUUGCUGUUAGAACCGCGCGCGGAACAUCGGAGGUGACUUGGAGUUAUUUUCUGGCGGUUACCGUCAUAUGAGGAAACUGGUCACUGCAACUCCAGCAGAUGCAGAGAGGACCUCUCUUUGCCCAGUACCCCAAGACUGAUUGCACUUGGUUCAUUCUGAGAAUAAACCCUGAUGGCACCCAAUGCAAAAAAAAAUCAAAAUCACAGAUCAGCCGGGCAUCUGGAAAAAGGAUGCAGAGAAAAAAUCGCCAGCCUGAAUCCCCUUGUGGCAUCUUUCAUCAGAGAGCUUGUUGAAUUCGAUUGGCAAAAUUAUUGAAAGAAAACACGACUAAAACAUGUUUUUACUGUU